GCGCAAACCAGGCAGCAUGCAAGGGCUGGCUGGGAGAUGCUGACCCUUAGCCCUACCCCUUCUGCAUGAGGCCCCGCCCCUUCCGGGGGCCAGAGCCACCCCCCCAUACCGGAGUCCAGCACUCGCUGUUGCUGCAGUUGUUCCUAUGAAAGCUGCCAUCAUAAGUCUUUGCCUGCUUCUGGUGGGAUGUGCCAUUCCAUGGUAACAUCGGGAAACAGCCUCUAAGCCUGCCACAGCAGCAAGAAAUCGAAGGCGAAACAUCCUAUCAAGUAUUCUCCAAGCCAAAGAAUUUCACAUCUCAUCCUUAUUUCAGUCCACCAAUUUGCAAGACUAUCGCUCCGACAAAGGAAAGAUGACAGAGCUCCCUUCGGAACUUGUCAAUGACACACCUGAGCCAACCAAAGGUGUCACUGCAGUGCAACAUGAGACACUUCCCCUUUCCAAGGACUCACCUACACUAGGCAACUGUCCUGCAUCUGACAAGGGAUGUCAGCAACAGUCCCCCUGAAUCAGUGUUGAAAGUUGCCAUACUAUUACUCUUUUAUAUGUAUGUUGAGGUAGCACCCAGCGUCCUCAAUCAGGAUAAGAGCUCCAUCGUGAUAGCCAUUAAACAAACCCCAGUGGAACAAGUUUCCAACAAUGUAAUGGAAAUGCUGACUGAGAAACUUUUGUCCUUUCUACCCUAGCAGUUUUACCAGUUCAUGGGGACUGUUUGUUGGGAACCUGUUUCACUCACCAGUCAAUUUCGUACAAUAGACAGGCCUCUAGAAGCAGGCUCCAACUAGAUGCACCCUUAGGGCUAGUCUACACUUACCUGCCAGGUCGA